GAAUUUUUCCGAAUCAGUUCGUAAUCCGUUUUCUUGAGAGUGUUAUUUCAACGUAUUUCUUUUGGGAUUUAAUGUAAUUAUACAAGAAUAAAAGAUAUUUUAAUAAGUGAAAGUGAAAUUGUGAGUGAUAUAAUGUAUAUCAACAUAUAAGAUGAACAAGUAUUUGGUAAAUCAUUUGAUAAAACGGUAAACGAAGUGGUAAUCGAGGUACGUGUUGAACCAAGAAACUGGGAAUCCAUUUUAAAAGUAUAAUUCUACACGGAGCAUCGGAUUAAACGAUCAGCAACUCUGCUAAUUCGUUAAUCAUAAAUAUUCAAGAGUCAAUUAACACGGAUACGAGGGUCGUGCACUCUCGCCGGAUCAAUUAAUUAUCGAUUUCCAUUACGCUUGCGUAAUGACCUAUUAACAACGCACGCUCGAGAUCCUCUGGGCCGAAACUUCGAUUUUAAUGUCAUGAUUCGUGAACCUACGACUUAUCCCGAAAUUAUGCUUUAUCGAUUUUGUGUUCAAUAUCAGAGAUUAAUAUCAGAAUUCUGAAAAUUGAUUUAUGGAUCAAUUAUACCGUACCUUUUGGAGAAAAAGAGAAUUACAACGAUACCCGUUCAAUUAUAUUAACAACAAUUCACUCACAUUGCAAACAUAACCUAAAUAUGUCAUCAUUAUCUUUCACCGAACUAGUACAUCUAACAAACAAACAACUUUGCAACUUUCGACAUAUGAAUAAUAUUGCGCCUCAUUUUUGGCAAAGAUGGAUUAUUAAAUGAUGCUUUAUAUUGCUGUUCAUCAAUCGAUUUUAAGAAGGCUAUCAAUAUCGAUGAUUAUUGAUAAUUCUUUUUAAUGAUUUGAUUACAGAACGUGAGUUAUUUUUGUCAUUAUAAUAUAUGAAGAUUUUUAAAGCAAGUCGACACUUGUUACGCAUCCUCCUAUCAUAUCGCCAUUGAAUAUCAACGUGGACGGGAAAUGUUGCAUCGUAUUAUGUCGUUGUCUAUCAAAUUAUGAUUCAGAUACAUAACAGAAUUGAUUUAUCGGUGUUUCGUCGUCAUAUCAGAGAAAUGACACGUUAUACAACUAAUAACAACAAAACGUAUCCAGCUGACGAUUUUUAUAAAAUAUAUAUGAAAACGUAAUUUAAAAAAUAAACAAAUAAUUGACCUGUUUCUUUAAUAAAUCAAUGCAAUGUAUCAAUGCAAUUACUGAGAAACGUUACACGAGGAUACAAGGGAUUAUUUGAUGAAUUUUUAUAUAUAAUAUAAUAACGAUUAAGAAUCGUGUUUUCAUUGAGUGGAUUCUCGAUUUUCGCAAUUCGGAAUGGAACGAGAUUCGAAGGUAUAUGAUUUUCGAGGUUCGUUGAACACGUGCACGCACGUAAUUCGAGCGUCUGACUGAGACGUGUAAUUUUCACGAUUGCAACGAGGAAACUGAUCCCUUUUUACUGCACACACUUGCUCCUCCCUGUGCUUGAUCAAGUGUAAUUACUGUGAAUAAUGCAGCAGGGUGUUAACAGUACGAAACCAGAGUUAUGAAUCUUGUUCGAUGUUGUGUAAUUUGCCGGCAAUUUGCUGAGAAUCCUCAUAUACACAACCAAUACGUUUUACGAAAGGAUUGGAGAUUUUUCACAAAGGGAAUUUUCCAAAGGGAUUACGGCGUGUAUUUGUCCCGCUUUCGGAUCGAAACUUAUUCCCCUGAUACGACGUUUUACGACGCUCUUAUGGUAUUAAGGUAAAAAUUAAAGUUGCUCAUUUUAAAAAUUUCUUAUUCCAAUUUUAAUCGAAACUUGGAAAACCACAUUCGUUCGUUAACAAAAUUCGAAAGGCUCUUCGUACACGCGUAUCCCCGAACACGAAGCCAAUCAAUCAUGAAACCAGAAGCAGAAUUUGGCGGCCAAAACUGUCGAUGGCGCGAAAACGGCGAGGCUUGUAAUUAAAUCGUUAAACAAUUUCAUUUGGAUCGUAAAUAUCGUAAUUCGUUGUUUACAGAGAACGGAACAACGGAGGGAGGAGAUUGAAAAUUGUUCGAGCCGCGUACUAAUAUCGUUGUUAUUAUGUUAAUGGAACGAGCAUGGCUUCAAUUAUAAUUGAUCACGUGACCGAAAUGUCAAACGAAUUCCUCGGAAAACUAUUUCGAUCGUCGUUGAUUCUCUCCUUGAUUUUUUUUUUCUUUUUGGAAUUUCACAUCGACGAAGAAAAUAUUUCUCGAGAGUUUAGAUUUUUAUUAUUUGUUUGCUAUUCCAUUUUGAUAUUUUCAUAAAUAAAUGAAAUGGAGUUUGAAUUGUUCGAUCUACAAAGGUAAGUGUUUAUAUUAAUUAUGCAAUUGCAAAUUUGGAAAGUAGAAAUAAAAUUGUAUUCGAAUUAAUUAGAGAAAUCAAGUUCGUGCAUGCACAUUCGUUUGGGCUGUCUGAAAUAUUAAUAGAAAUCUUUCAAUUAUAUCUUUCGUCACUCGUAUCGAUAUCGUAAUCAAACGUUUAAUCCUUCUAUGUGUGCAGCAAACUUGUUAAAUCAUCCGCGCGUAGAUAACUUCUUCUCGCCAGAUGUUUAUGAGAUUAUCCAUAUUAGGUCGAUUAGAUUUAAAACAGACGUCUUGAAAUAUUUUGUCUGAGAAAGAUAUCGAUGCAGAGUGAUUCAUUCAUUCAUUCAUUCAAAAAAAUCCAUAUACUUAAUUUACACUCUGAGAAUAAGGAAAGAAUCGCGAUCCACGUGAUUCAAUAUGAUGAAAUCGUGAAAUAUAACCGUGAAAAACGGUGUUCAAACGAGUUGCAUAAUGAAAAAAAUAAUAAAUAGCCGCAACAAGGAAUAUCGAAUAUCAGGGACGAUUCACAUCUCAUCGUUAAUAAUCAGCAUUAUCUUCGAGCAGCAAUAUCAAACUUCCGCCAACAAUCACGCACGAAAAUGCUCUUAUGAAAUCUGCUUACGUAAGCUAGCGAGGAAUCGAAUCCCUCCUCCACGUCUCGAACAACAAUUCGAGCGUGUAUAAUGCAUUUUGCGAAGAUCCGUCCUCUUCUUCCUGCUCGAAUUAUCAUUUUCAUUCUGGAAAAUCGUUCCACGAGAUAGGAACAAUAAUAGAAAUUUCACGAAGGAAUUUUCACAUCCUAUCAAUACACCUCAAAAUCUAACGAUAAUCCAAUUCACAUUACUAUAUAUUUUACAUAAUAAAAAUUGUUAUUUUCAGAAAUCCUCCAAUUAUUCCACGAAUAAUGCGUUAAUAUUGUCUAAUAUAUUUUACACUCGUUGCACAGUUAUGAUUUACGAAAAGUAAGUUAUCCAAUUUAUCUAUUAUUAUAAAAAGGAGAAGAUGGAUGUCGGUUGCACGGCAACAUCAAUGCGGACCACCCAAAUGCGUGAACGCCAGAUAUGGAAGCACGCACGGCCACCGGAAUUUUUGAUACUUGCCCGCGUAACAGAACGAGAUCGGCUGACGUAAUCGCGCAAGAUUCUCCCGCGCUAUUUUUAAGUGGUAAAGUCAGCACGUGGCGCGGAUGGCGAAAUUCGCUCGAGAAUUCUUCUCCCUUUUUUCUUCUUUUUUUUUUCCAAUCUUUUUCUUCCACCCCCUCUUUUUCCCUCACUCCCCGAUACGCGACGGCAUUACGAAGUGAUGAAAAAGGUUUUUGCAAAUCUCUUCUCGUGUUAUUCCACGAAACCUGGUAAAUUAUGACUAGGCGGGAUCGCUUUGACGCUUUUUUCCUCUCCUUUUUUCAAAGCUCCUCUUCUUCUUUAUGCAUCAUGGCGGUUCGUGUAUGUUUUUUUCUCUUUCUUUCUUUUUCGAUGAAAGUUUCGUUUUUCUUGCGUAUAAAUGGAUGUGUAUGUAUAUAUAUAUAUAUAUAUGUCGUGAGAGGUUUCGAGAAGAUUUUUAAGAGUUGAGAUUCGUGAAUUUAUAGUGGACGAGGUGAUUGUGAACGCAGCUUUAAGUGUACGUUUAUUUAGUUGUAAAUACCGCGAUAUAUGUAUUUCGGGGGCUUUAGGUCGGUGAUUUAUGACGAGGGAGAGGAAUCGUGAAUGAAAUUCGAAACGAUUACUCGUUGUAAAUGUAAACGGUGGUAACCGUAAAAUAUUUUAGAAUUAAAAUUUACGACGAGUGAGAAAUCGUGAACGCGAUUCGAUUCGAUUCGACUCGACUCGGCUCGGCUCGAUUCGAGUAUUUAUUUAAUCGAACAACCACGAGAUUGGAUGUAAUAUACUGCUAUAUAAGAAUCAAGAAAAAUUUAUGAUUUAUGCGAUCAAUGAGAAAUUAUGAAUGCGAAAUUAAUUAACAUUAUUCGCGCGACUGUUAUAAACGUGAUGUAUAUUUUCGAAUUUUCGUGUUCAUCUUAAAUUCAAUCUCGAAAGUGUCGAUAUCGACGAGUUAUAAUAAACGCAAAAAUGAUAAAUCCAAAAUGAAUAUUUAUUUUCGAAUACGUUUACAUAACAUCAUCAUAGUAUGUAGCUAGUUGAAAAAAAAAAAUCAAAAAAAAGAAAAUUCAUAUCCAUAUGUUUCUAUAACCAUCCAUCCAUUCGUUCGUACUUUUUUUUCUCCCCAAAACAAUAGCAGAUCGAAUGGUAAAAAAAUUCUCUACGACUCGUUAAAUUAUGGUUUCAUAGCGGGAAAAAAUAUAUUCGAGUUGACUUCUUUCUCUCCCUCUCUUUCCAACUCCAACAAUUCAUACACGAGUGAAACGCACGAGUUCUCGAAUACGUACGCAACGAAACACGGAACGUUCUGGACCGCGUUUAUAUUUGGUGUUUUAACGCGUCUCUAUAGCGGGUUGAAUGAAUUAUUGAUGACGCCGUGGUGGAUGUGAUUACCGUGUAUCGCAUACUGGUCGUGUGCGUUAUGUCACGUCUUUUUUAAUGUAUGCAGAUGACUCGAACGAUGUCAUCGUGGGGUUUAACCGCGGUCGGAGAUUCGCUUCAGCUUGACGCCAUCGUUGUUCCGCGAAAAAUUAUAUAUCCUGAUAAGGGGAAACGAGGAAACGCUUACAAAAACGUUCAAACGUUUAUCUGAAUAUUUUUUUUUUUCAUUCCUUUCGUUCCAUAUCCGAAGAUUUCCUCUUUUACCAAUUUUAUUUUAAUUAUUUUUUUCUUCGAAAUAUUAUGUCCCGAUAUUAAUUAAUUCGAAUACACACUCGAGGAAUUUUCGAGAAUGAAAUCGACAAUAAAUAAAUAUGAAAAUUUUUUAAUCGAUCGAUUUUGCAAUCGAAAGAUCAAAGAUAUAAGAAGAAAGGAAUCGUGGUGGAUGUAUAUAAAGGAUUUGCCUCUGAAAUUCAAUAAACUGAAUGGGAAUUGUAAAAUUUUUACGAUAUUGCUAUUAAAAAAAUAUUGAAACCGCAUAGCAUAAAGCUGCACGAAUCGUUUUCCGCAAUAUCUUUAUAUAUAUUUCUAUCUUAUACUUUCCUCUCGUAAUAUAUAUAUAUAAAUAUCAAUUCUCUGGUGAGAAACGAGCGGUUUAUUAUUCAUACACGCAAUUCUUAUAAUUCUUUCACAAUUUAUUUUUUUUCCAGACUUUACUCCAACUAUGAAUGAACGUUUUAUUACAAUGAUAUGUAAAUACACGAGGAAGACGCGAUCCUUGCAAAAUUCCUCUCCAAUCAAUUCUCUCCAUUAAUCUAUCCUAAAGUGUACCACGAACGAAUCCAUCGCACGAAUCAACUAUAAUUUCUCCAGAAAUCGUUGGAAAUCGAUAUUCGAUCAACAAUAUUUAUGAAUAAUCGGAUUUUCCAUCACACGUGACGCCGUUUCGAUUCAAUUCCCGAUCAAGUUGGCAGCCUCGAGGACAAGGCGACGUACGCGUGUACGUUCGAAAUUAGUUACAGAGGCCAGAUUAGGUAUGGUGGGCGUUUCAAUCAGUCACCAGGCAUUUCAAUGACGAUAUUAGCGAAGGUAAGUAGCCGAGACGCGGGGUUUCCGUUAUGGACGUAAUAUCAUUAAGCUCUCGCGCAAUUGCGAAACGUCGAUAGAUUGACUUUGCAAAUUUUCCUCUUUCUAAAUACAUCUUAUAUUUACCAAAAAAAAAAAAAAAUAAUCUCCAAAAUAGCUUGAUAGAAGAAGUAGAAAAGAAUUCGAAUCUCAUUCUCAUUCAGAAUUUCUUACUUCAGACUUAUCGACUUAUCUGAACGUUGAUCUCUGCUACUCGAAUUAAAAGUUAUAAAUAGUAGGAAGAAUGGACUGCUAUUAGAUUAACCGCUAUUAGACGAAUUACUUCCUCAAUCAAGGCACGCUACAUCAUACGUCCUCGUAUACAAUGGAUUUUUACAUACCGCGAUACAAUAUCGGAUAAAUCCAUCACGUAUUAUCUUAUUCGAAUCCAUCGUUGAAUAAAUAAAUUUUACAGCUGAUCGAUUCAAUUACAACUCUUCGAUUAAUCUCUAACAAAUGGAAUUCCCCUCAAUAUCUCUAUUUCAAGAUAAGAUAUCGAGCAAUUUCAUAUUCGCGAAUAUUUCGGAUAAAAAAAAAUAUGAGAGAUAUCGCGGUUCGGGAAAUCAUUUCUCGAAGAGAGAGAGGAAGAGCCGAUAAAUAGAGAACGCGUGUGCGCGCAAUCAGCCUUCCCUCUUCCGGUUUCCCGUGUGUCUCCGUGGCUGGCUAUACUUUUAGAACACCCGAUAAACAGUCCCUAUAAUAGAGACGACGCCGCGCCAGAUAGAUAGGCUUUUGAUCCUCUAAUAGUAUGCUGAUGGAGCGACGCGCUCUGCUAACUCCGACCGAUUGCAUCUCGUUCAUCGAAUCUUUCCCCUCGCGUGCUCCACUGGUUAAUGGCACGUGGCACGCGUCGACGAGAUCCCCACGAUUUUUCCUUCCUUUUUUUUGACUUUUCCUUUCAUUUCAGGAAAGAAAUCGAGAA